UUGCUUAUUUUGGCAGCACAUAUACUAAAAUUGGAACCAUAUAGAGAAGGUUAGCAUGGCCCCUUGGCAAGGAUGACACACAAAUUCAUGAAGCGUUCCAUAAAAAA